rnacentral:rRNA from 1 species
AGCGAACGCUGGCGGCAGGCCUAACACAUGCAAGUCGAACGAACUCUUCGGAGUUAGUGGCGGACGGGUGAGUAACACGUGGGAACGUGCCUUUAGGUUCGGAAUAACUCAGGGAAACUUGUGCUAAUACCGAAUGUGCCCUUCGGGGGAAAGAUUUAUCGCCUUUAGAGCGGCCCGCGUCUGAUUAGCUAGUUGGUGAGGUAAAGGCUCACCAAGGCGACGAUCAGUAGCUGGUCUGAGAGGAUGACCAGCCACAUUGGGACUGAGACACGGCCCAAACUCCUACGGGAGGCAGCAGUGGGGAAUCUUGCGCAAUGGGCGAAAGCCUGACGCAGCCAUGCCGCGUGUAUGAUGAAGGUCUUAGGAUUGUAAAAUACUUUCACCGGUGAAGAUAAUGACUGUAGCCGGAGAAGAAGCCCCGGCUAACUUCGUGCCAGCCGCCGCAGUAAUAC